ACUUGUACCGACUGGAUGAGCAGCGAACGGGUGAGUAACGCGUGGGGAAUCUGCCUUUGAGCGGGGGACAACAUUUGGAAACGAAUGCUAAUACCGCAUAAAAACUUUAAACACAAGUUUUAAGUUUGAAAGAUGCAAUUGCAUCACUCAAAGAUGAUCCCGCGUUGUAUUAGCUAGUUGGUGAGGUAAAGGCUCACCAAGGCGAUGAUACAUAGCCGACCUGAGAGGGUGAUCGGCCACAUUGGGACUGAGACACGGCCCAAACUCCUACGGGAGGCAGCAGUAGGGAAUCUUCGGCAAUGGACGAAAGUCUGACCGAGCAACGCCGCGUGAGUGAAGAAGGUUUUCGGAUCGUAAAACUCUGUUGGUAGAGAAGAACGUUGGUGAGAGUGGAAAGCUCAUCAAGUGACGGUAACUACCCAGAAAGGGACGGCUAACUACGUGCCAGCAGCCGCGGUAAUACGUAGGUCCCGAGCGUUGUCCGGAUUUAUUGGGCGUAAAGCGAGCGCAGGUGGUUUAUUAAGUCUGGUGUAAAAGGCAGUGGCUCAACCAUUGUAUGCAUUGGAAACUGGUAGACUUGAGUGCAGGAGAGGAGAGUGGAAUUCCAUGGGUAUCGG
rnacentral:rRNA from 1 species